rnacentral:rRNA from 1 species
UGAGCUUGAUCUGGCUCAGGAUGAACGCUAGCGGCAGGCUUAACACAUGCAAGUCGAGGGGUAGAGUUCUUCGGAACUUGAGACCGGCGCACGGGUGCGUAACGCGUAUGCAAUCUACCUUUUACAGAGGGAUAGCCCAGAGAAAUUUGGAUUAAUACCUCAUAGCAUUAUGGAAUGGCAUCAUUCUAUAAUUAAAGUCACAACGGUAAAAGAUGAGCAUGCGUCCCAUUAGUUUGUUGGUAAGGUAACGGCUUACCAAGACUACGAUGGGUAGGGGUCCUGAGAGGGAGAUCCCCCACACUGGUACUGAGACACGGACCAGACUCCUACGGGAGGCAGCAGUGAGGAAUAUUGGUCAAUGGGCGCAAGCCUGAACCAGCCAUGCCGCGUGCAGGAUGACGGUCCUAUGGAUUGUAAACUGCUUUUAUACAGGAAGAAACAACGCUACGUGUAGCGUCUGACGGUAC